UACGUAGGGUCCGAGCGUUGUCCGGAGUUACUGGGCGUAAAGCGCGCGCAGGCGGCGGUAUAAGCAUGGCGUGAAAGCCCCAGGCUCAACCUGGGAGGGUCGUCGUGGACUGUACCGCUUGAGGGCGGUAGGGGCUGGUGGAAUGCCUGGCGUAGUGGUGAAAUGCGUAGAGAUCAGGCGGAACACCCGUGGCGAAGGCGGCCAGCUGGGCCGUCCCUGACGCUGAGGCGCGAAGGCGUGGGGAGCGAACGGG
rnacentral:rRNA from 1 species